UACGGAGGGUGCAAGCGUUAUCCGGAUUUACUGGGUGUAAAGGGAGCGUAGACGGCAGAGCAAGUCCGGAGUGAAAGCCCGGGGCCCAACCCCGGGACUGCUCUGGAAACUGUUAAGCUGGAGUGCGGGAGGGGCAGGCGGAAUUCCUGGUGUAGCGGUGAAAUGCGUAGAUAUUAGGAGGAACACCAGUGGCGAAGGCGGCUUACUGGACAGUGACUGACACUGAGGCUCGAAAGCGUGGGGAGCAAACAGG
rnacentral:rRNA from 1 species